UACAGAGGGUGCAAGCGUUGCUCGGAUUUAUUGGGCGUAAAGAGCUCGUAGGCGGUGUGUCACGUCGGCCGUGAAAACCUGCAGCUUAACUGUGGGCGUGCGGUCGAUACGGGCAUCACUGGAGUUCGGCAGGGGAGACUGGAAUUCCUGGUGUAGCGGUGAAAUGCGCAGAUAUCAGGAGGAACACCGGUGGCGAAGGCGGGUCUCUGGGCCGAUACUGACGCUGAGGAGCGAAAGCGUGGGGAGCAAACAGG
rnacentral:rRNA from 1 species